rnacentral:lncRNA from 1 species
GUGUUUUUACUCAACAAUAAAGAAAGAGUAGAAGAAUGGAGUCAAUCUAAACCCAUGAAGAGGAAAAUAUGGCUUCUCUAUUAUUAUUAUAUUUAUUGUUUUCUUUUUUGGUUUGGAUCUGUUGAAUAGAAGGUGGAUGACCAUUUUGCACGAUGUUUGGUGUCAGGUGUGGAUAUAUCGAAUUUACGUGGAUGAUCGUUUUUGCAAACGAAACAAUGACACAAUUAUUUUAAGAAUUAACUUGUGAUUUUUUUUGCCUCGUUAAUAAGAAGAGGGGAUAAUAU